ACCUACGGGGGGCAGCAGUGGGGAAUAUUGCACAAUGGGGGAAACCCUGAUGCAGCGACGCCGCGUGAGCGAAGAAGUAUUUCGGUAUGUAAAGCUCUAUCAGCAGGGAAGAAAAAUGACGGUACCUGAGUAAGAAGCACCGGCUAAAUACGUGCCAGCAGCCGCGGUAAUACGUAUGGUGCAAGCGUUAUCCGGAUUUACUGGGUGUAAAGGGCGUGCAGCCGGAGAGACAAGCCAGAUGUGAAAUCCACGGGCUCAACCCGUGAACUGCAUUUGAAACUGUUUCCCUUGAGUGUCGGAGAGGU
rnacentral:rRNA from 1 species